AUGUGGCAGUAGGGUAUUUCUGAGAGAGAGAUGGGGAUGGGAAGGAGGGAGGGACAGAGGGAGAGAGGGAAGGAGCGAGGGGGGAGAGAAAGAGAAAGAAAGGGAGAGAGAUAUAUAAAGAGAUAUUUGAAUCUGUGGACUAAGCAAAUUAUCCUCCCAACAUUAAUAUGCAUUAUGAAAUCCCCGGGGAGUCUGAAGAGAACAAAAAUAUUCAAAAACUGAGAACUUUUCUCUGCCUGAGCUGGGAGUUGGGCUUCUGGGUGGAGUGGGACACAUCCCAUUCUUGAGCCUUUGGACUUGAAAUAAACUCUCAGUUCUGGGUCUCAGGCUUAGACUUCAUAAUGAAACCACACCAUCACCUUUGCUGGGCCUCCAGCACAAAUCACGGAUCGUCUCAGGCUCUACUCAUGGGAACUGAGUCCCCGUAGCCUAAUCUUCAUUUUCUCCCCUUUCCUCCCUCUCUUUCUCCUCUUUCCCUUUUCCUACCUAUCCCUUCCCUCUCUUCUUUCUUCCUCUUUUAUUGGUUUCAUUUUUCAGGAGAACCCUGAGAUAUAUCCUAAAGGAGAUAAUUUGGAUGCCAUCCUUGUCAAAGGCAUUACAACUUCAGUUGUUUAUUUCUCCCUCUCCCCCCUUUGCCUUUUCAUGAAAUCAUACUCUAUGAAACCAUACACUGGUCUUAGUUUGAUUAUCCAUUCUGCACCCAUGUUGAGUAUCUACUGUGCACUCAUUGUGGGAGCUUGGGUAAGAAACUGCUAAGAAGUGGAGGCUGGUAAGCAGAGAGUUUCAGUACCAUGUUGCAGACCCUGUGUGCAGGGUUCUGUGAGAGCAGGGAAGGAGUUUA
rnacentral:lncRNA from 1 species